rnacentral:misc_RNA from 1 species
UACGUAGGGCGCAAGCGUUGUCCGGAAUUAUUGGGCGUAAAGCGCGUGUAGGCGGUUCGAUAAGUCUGCUGUGAAAGUCGGGGGCUCAACCCUCGGAUGCCGGUGGAUACUGUCGGGCUAGAGUGCGGAAGAGGCGAGUGGAAUUCCUGGUGUAGCGGUGAAAUGCGCAGACAUCAGGAGGAACACCAAUUGCGAAGGCAGCUCGCUGGGACGUUACUGACGCUGAGACGCGAAAGCGUGGGGAGCAAACAGG